rnacentral:rRNA from 1 species
CGGACGGGUGAGUAAUGUCUGGGAAACUGCCUGAUGGAGGGGGAUAACUGCUGGAAACGGUAGCUAAUACCGCAUAACGUCGCAAGACCAAAGAGGGGGACCUUCGGGCCUCUUGCCACCGGAUGUGCCCAGAUGGGAUUAGCUAGUAGGUGGGGUAACGGCUCACCUAGGCGACGAUCCCUAGCUGGUCUGAGAGGAUGACCAGCCACACUGGAACUGAGACACGGUCCAG